AACGAACGCUGGCGGCAUGCCUAACACAUGCAAGUCGAACGAGACCUUCGGGUCUAGUGGCGCACGGGUGCGUAACGCGUGGGAACCUGCCCUUAGGUUCGGAAUAACUCCCCGAAAGGGGUGCUAAUACCGGAUAAUGUCUUCGGACCAAAGAUUUAUCGCCUUUGGAUGGGCCCGCGUUGGAUUAGCUAGUUGGUAGGGUAAAAGCCUACCAAGGCGACGAUCCAUAGCUGGUCUGAGAGGAUGAUCAGCCACACUGGGACUGAGACACGGCCCAGACUCCUAGGGGGGGGAGGAGGGGGGAAUAUUGGACAGGGGGCCAAAGCCUACCCCACCAAUGCCGGGUGAGUGAUGAAGGCCUUGGGGUUGUAAAGCUCUUUUACCCGGGAUGAUAAGGACAGGACCGGGAAAAAAACCCCCGGCUAACUCCGU
rnacentral:rRNA from 1 species